GUAGGUGGCAAGCGUUGUCCGGAAUUAUUGGGCGUAAAGCGCGCGCAGGCGGUUCUUUAAGCCUGAUGUGAAAGCCCACGGGCUCAACCGUGGAGGGUCAUUGGAAACUGGAGAACUUGAGUACAGAAGAGGAAAGCGGAAUUCCACGUGUAGCGGUGAAAUGCGUAGAGAUGUGGAGGAACACCAGUGGCGAAGGCGGCUUUCUGGUCUGUAACUGACGCUGAGGCGCGAAAGCGUGGGGAGCAAACAGGAUUAGAUACCCUGGUAGUCCACGCCGUAAACGAUGAGUGCUAAGUGUUAGGGGGUUUCCGCCCCUUAGUGCUGCAGCUAACGCAUUAAGCACUCCGCCUGGGGAGUACGGCCGCAAGGCUG
rnacentral:rRNA from 1 species